CAAGUCGGCCGCAAGCGUUAUCCGGAGUUACUGGGCGUAAAGAGCGCGCAGGCGGAUGAUUAAGUCGUUUAUGAACGCCCCUGGCUAAACUGGGGGAGGCUAGACGAUACUGGUUGUCUUGAGUGGGUGAGAGGGAUGUGGAAUUCCGCGUGUAGUGGUGAAAUGCGUAGAGAUGCGGAGGAACACCAGAUGCGAAGGCGGCAUCUUGGCCCUCAACUGACGCUGAGGCGCGAAAGCAUGGGUAGCGAACGGG
rnacentral:rRNA from 1 species